rnacentral:lncRNA from 1 species
UUUCUCUGGAGGAAAUUUUUAUAUAAGAUUAUUAUUGAUUAAACAAAAAACACAUCAUAUUAUUUCUCUCUUCCUCCAUAGCUUUUUGAAACCAUGAAUUACAAAGCAUUCACUUUGAUAUUGUGUGUAUUAAUUUUUUGUCUAUCAUCAACAAUGGCCUCUCGAAGAAUAUUAUCAGGUUUUAUCUCUUUGCUUUUUUGAUUGAUAUAUAAAAUAUGAUUAUUAGAAAAAAAAUAUUUACUAUUUAUAGAAUAAUAAUUCUUGUUUAUUGAUAAAAGCAUAAAGAUCAUUUCUAUUAUAAGGUGGAGAGUUUGAUUUUUCCAAUCAACCUAUUCGCAUAAAUAAAACUCUUUCAAAAAAUUAUAUAUUUAUCCCUUCACUUUAAUGUAUUUUAAUUUUUUCCCCUAAAUUUUCAGUUGAAGGAACUAAACAAAUUCAUUAGUUUAAGAUAUACCAUGUUGAGAAUUCUCAUUAGUACGAUGGCAUUUAAUUUGGACUAAUAAACAGUUUUUUGUUGUAAAAUUAAAGUAAAAUAAGACAAACAAAUAUAGAAGAUGAAAGCAAUAGAAAUAUUGUUAUAUAAGUAAUAUUUUAUAACAAUUUUUUUGUCAAUUUUUUUGCUUUAUUCUUGUUUUCUUGUUCCGUUUAUUGUAAUGGGUUUUACUUUUAAUUUGAGUUAUCGCGUUUCAGUUUUCAAUAUGAAAAAAUGUCUUCAGAAAGCAUAUUUGAAAUUAUAAUCAAGCAUAAACUAUUACCCUAGAUCAACAAGUCUUUUUAAAUUAAUAAGUAUAAUACAAAUUGCUAUCAUAUAUAUAUAUAUAUAUAUANNNNNNNNNNNNNNNNNNNNNNNNNNNNNNNNNNNNNNNNNNNNNNNNNNNNNNNNNNNNNNNNNNNNNNNNNNNNNNNNNNNNNNNNNNNNNNNNNNNNNNNNNNNNNNNNNNNNNNNNNNNNNNNNNNNNNNNNNNNNNNNNNNNNNNNNNNNNNNNNNNNNNNNNNNNNNNNNNNNNNNNNNNNNNNNNNNNNNNNNNNNNNNNNNNNNNNNNNNNNNNNNNNNNNNNNNNNNNNNNNNNNNNNNNNNNNNNNNNNNNNNNNNNNNNNNNNNNNNNNNNNNNNNNNNNNNNNNNNNNNNNNNNNNNNNNNNNNNNNNNNNNNNNNNNNNNNNNNNNNNNNNNNNNNNNNUAUAUAUAUAUAUAUAUAUAUAUAAACUCUAUUUUAAUAACAGGUCCGGGAAAUAGUAAAAUGCCAUCACUACCUCACCGACCUAAACCAGAUGGAUCAGCAACUACCCAACCACCGCCUGGUAAACUUUUGCUUGAACCUUUUUUCAAUUUACGUGUCACAAUUCAAAAUUUGAGAAUCAAAUAUUUUAAUUUUAAUUUUUAAAACUUCGCAUCCCCUAAUGCGAACUACUAUUAAUAUGUGUGGCAAAUUAGUUCAUGCACAUAUGUAGUCUUGUUUUCAUUUAAUUGCAUAAUUUUUCUUUCAAAUGAGUUCAUUUUUAUUUUUUUAUCAUUUAAAUAAGUUGAAUUUUAAUUUUUGCAUUUAUUACAUAAUAAAAGUUAUUAAAGAGCGCGAAAUAUAAUAUAUAAACUAUUAUUAUGUAAAAAUAUAAAUUUAUAUCUUACGAUUCUUUUUUACCUCGUGGGACAAUCAUUAAAGACCGACACAAAAUACAGGGAUCCUUUUUAAUUUGCGUAAAGUUAUUUGAUUAGACACAAUGUUUAAAGAACUUUUUUUUGAUGAUUUCUAAUACUUUGUGGUCGUGAGUACGAAUCAUAUGAUGAGAUAUUUGUGAAUUAUGAUUAUAAAACUUGUCAUAAAAUGUCUAAAGAGAAACUUAUAAUUUAUUUUUAGAAAUAGAAAAGUGUUAUUCUAUUUGAUUUCGAAAAAUAAUAAUCGUUUUUUUAAAGUUAAAAUUGCAGCAAAACCACGUAUAAAUAGUGCAUUAAAAAGAAAUUCGGUAUGCAACGAGGAAGUGUAUGGCAAUUGUAUAAACUCUACUCCAACAGUCCCACGCUGCAAUUUAGGUGAAAGAUGUAAACGCACCAUAGUACCCUAACUUGAAGUUAUAACAAUAGAGCAAGUCGCAGUUAGAAUUUGAAAUUUAUGAAUUUUGAAUGUAUUAUUAAAUUUUAUAACUCAUUUAAUUAGUUAUUAGAUUGACGCUAAAUUGUUAACAAUAAACUUCUUUAUUCAGUGAAAGUUCAUGUAAUAAUAUUGAAUGGUAUAUAUUUAUAUCAAGGCCAUUUAAAAUCUUCUUCCUCUAUCCCCUUUUUGGUAUCCCUUUUUUUUUCCCACUACUUAAAGUUCCCAAAUUAUGAGGAAUAAAGAAUGUAGAUUUCCUAAACGGUUAACUACAUUCAUCGAUUGUUUCUUAAAUUUGUUAGUAAAUUUUAUUUAGACGAAUUUUGAUUGAGUCAAUAGAUUUUAAAGGGCAAGAAAAUACUUGACAAAUAUCGUGCUCAUGAGGGCAUGCACACAUGCCAUCGAACAUGUUUUUCUUUAUUUUUGUUGCAUCCAUUUGAACUUGUGACGAUCCGUUAAGACUCGUAAGAUGAUCCAAAAGUUUCUUUUUAGGAAAUUUUACACAAAUCUUAUAGUGUUAAGAGCUAAUUAUAUCAUAUUUAUACUCUUUUCUAAAUUACAAAAAUCCCUUAAAUUUGGUGGAAUCCGAAUACAUUCCAAAAUAUCUCGAUACAUCGCAUCCCAAUUUCGAAUACAUCGCUCAACCUCCUGAUACAUUGCGUCUCAGUUUCGUAUACAUCACAAUACAUCGCGUAAAGUGAUAUAUCCGAUAAUAGGAGAGAGUAGGAAUUUUUGUGAUUUUUUCAAAUGGUAGAAAAUUUUAAAGAAUAUGAUAAAAUAAAUUGUGUAUUGAAGUAAUUUUCCCUAUAUACGAAUUAUUAAAAUGAGGUUAAGAUUUAAAUAAUGACACCAAAAUAGUCUAUUUGUGCAAACCUCCCAUCCACACAAGUUUGAAUGGGCUGGUCUGUCUAAAAAAGCCCAAGAGCUUCUUACUAUUGGGCCUACUUUACUAGUGGCGGGACCCAAUUACAAAAUUUUCAAAUAAAUAAAAUACUCCACACGCAAUCUCCGCCUUCCCGUUGAAUUUAUCCCGGUGCCGGAGAAAUGGAAAACGGCGCUCAGCAAACACCGGCCACCACUACGCCACCAUCACCUCCGAUGCCAAAAGUCGGCGUAGCGGUGUUUCUUUUAAAAGGAAGUAAAGUUCUGUUGGGGAAACGCCUCUCCGCCGUCGGCCAUAGCACCUUUGCACUUCCCGGCGGCCACCUGGAGUUCGGUGAGUACCUAAAAAUAUCUUCCCGUUGUCUAUCGAAGCUUAAAUUCAUAUAUUAGUUAUGAUUUAUGAUAUGAUUUAUUUGAUAGAUGAUCUAAAUUUUAUAGUGAUUUUUUGUGAAAAGUUACUCCCUUCGUCCCAUUUUAUGUAAUAACAUUUGAUUGGACACAGAAUUUAAGAAAUAAAUGAAGACUUUGAAAUGUUUAUCAAAUUUUUCUUUAAAAAGUAGACUGACUUUUCUUUCUCUUCAUAAAUGUAUUGAAGUAUUAUUUUAUGAUUAAAUGAAACCAACAAGGAUAAAAAAGAAAUUGUACCUUUAAAUACUUAUCAUAUUAGGAAAUGCGACAUUCUUUUUGGACUGACUAAAAAGAAAAUGGUGCCACAUAAAAUGUGACGGAGGGAGUAUUUUUUUGGAGUAUGAAAAACUAUUUUUUUUGCAAAAAGUUAAACAAUCACCUUUAUUUGGAAAAAUAUCUUGUAAGAUUGCCAUAUAACUUUCGUGGUUAAUUAGUGUGAUUUAGAGUACAUUGUUUCCAAAUAUAUACUUGAUUUUAUUUCAAAAAAUUUAAAACUUCUAUGUUUGAAUUCACAAUACCUUAACAACCAAUCUAGCUUUGUACCUUGGCUUCAAGUUGUGUUCUUCAACUUUAACUUUGAACACCACUUGUUCUUCAAAGCUCUCAUGCCCUUGGGCAAUUUUACCAAUUCGCAAGUGUGGUUCUCAUGCAGAGACAUCAUUUCAUCUUGCAUGACUUCAAUCCAUUGAUCCUUGUGCUCAUCUUCCAUGGCCUCCUUAUAACAUUCAGGUUCGCCCCCGUCAGUGAGUAACACAUACUCAUUGGGUGAAUAACGAGAUGAAGGAACCCGCUGUCUUGUGGACCUCCUAAGCAAAUUAUUUAAUUCGUCCACAACUUCAUGAGCAUAAGGAUUAUUAAUAACAAUAUCAUUGUUAUUAACAACAUCAACAUGUUGAUUCGAUACAUGAUUAUGGGCGUCACCGUGAUCAUCAAGCCCAACAACAUCAUGCAUACUUGCGUAAGGAACUUCAUCUAGAUGAAUUAUGCCAUAAAAACUUGAAGAUUCUAGCUUCUCUGCUUUGUCAAUAUCUUAAAUUGUUUGAUUCUCCAUGAAAAUAAUAUCACAGCUUCUCACAAGUUUCUUCUCAAUUGGAUCAUAUAGCUUGUAACCAAAUUCAUCAAGGCCAUAUCCAAUGAAGAUGCACUGCCUUGUCUUGGCAUCCAACUUUGACCUCUCAUCUUUCAGCACAUGUACAAAAGCUUUGCAACCAAAUACUCUCAAAUGAUCAUAGAAAACAUCCUUUCCAUACCAAAUUCUAUAUGGAACAUCACUUUGCAAAGCAACAGCAGGAGAUAGAUUAAUAACAUGUGCAGCGGUCAAUAACGCCUCACCCCAAAAUAAGUUCGACAACUUUGCUUCAGAAAGCAAACAUCUAACUCUUUCCAUCAAGGUCCUGUUCAUCCUAUCAGCCAAACCAUUAAGCUGAGGAGUCUUAGGAAGAGUCUUUUGGUGUCUAAUACCUUGAUGCUUGCAGUAUUCGUCAAAUGGUCCACAAUAUUCACCACCAUUAUCAAUACGUAUACAUUUCAGUUUCUUUCCAGUUUCUCUUUCAACUGAGGCCUGAAACUGCUUGAAGACACCUAAGAUUUGGUCUUUAGUCUUCAAGACAUAAACCCAAAGUUUUCUCAAGCAGUCGUCAAUAAAAGUGACAAAGUAGAGUGCACCACCCAAUGUCUUUGACUUCAUUGGACCGUAUAAAUCAGAGUGCAUCAAGUCAAGCAACUCUGUCUUUCUUGAAAGUGGGUAAGACUUAAAUGAAACUCUAUUUUGUUUAUCAGCCAAGUAGUGCUCACACUUUGCUAAUUUAGAACUUUUAAAAUUUGACAAUAAUUUCUUCUUGGUUAGAACAUUAAGUCAUUUUUGGUUGAUAUGGCUAAGCCUCUUGUGCCAUAAUGUUGAAGAGUCAUUGCUCUCAAUCGCAUUUACCAUAUCGACACAAGCAGAAGUCGUAGUCCAGUAUAGACCAUGACGUUUGUUACCACGAGCCACAACCAAGGAACACUUAAUGAGUUUUUAUUUUUCAUCACCGUUGGUACUAACAUAUCCUUCAUCAUCCAAAACACAACAUAAAUUAGGUGCAGACGAACAUCAUGAGCAUGUUUUACAUUGUUCAAAACUAGUUUAGCUCCAACACUAGUUUCCAAACAAAUUGUAGCAAUACCAACCACCCUAGAAACAAUCUCAUUACCCAUACUCAAAGUUCCAAAAUCACCACGAGUAUAGGAAGAGAAAAAAUUCUUCAUUGAUGUCACGUGAGAUGCGGCACCAAUGUCCACAACCCAACUUGACUCAUCACAAGCAAUAUUUAUCAUAUCUGCAUCAAGGACGGUAAUAAGAUCUUCGAUAGUGACGGUGGCUAGGCAAUUUUCAUUGCCAUCUUCUUUAGUUUCCUCUUUGUUUUUGUUCUCCCUCUUCAACUUUCUGCAAAACUUCUUUGCGUGCCUUUUCAUGCCACAAUGAUAGCACUCAAUAUCCUUAAGCCUGCCUCUAGAUUUGCUCCUAUUUUGUUCUCUAUUCUGAGAACCACGAGUUUUGUUUCUCCCCCUGGAGCCAGUUAUCAGGACAUCCGACAAAGAAGAACUUUGGGAUUUUCUUCUUAUCUCUUCGUUCAAGACACUACUCUUGGCAGAAUCCAUUGAGAUUACACCAUCCGGAGUAGAAUUUAACAAUAAAGUUCUAAAUGGUUCUCAAAAGUCUGGUAGGGAACCAAGUAGAAGCAAGCCUUGAAUUUCUUCAUCAAAUUUAAUGUCCAUAGCAAAUAACUGGUUCAUGAUCCCCUGAAAAUUAUUCAGAUGGUCUAUCAUCGGAGAACCAUCAUGAUACUUUAAACUCAACAUCUACUUUAUUAAGAACAUUUUAUUGUUGCCAGUUUUCCGAGCAUACAAACUUUCAAGAUGCUCCCAUAGGGUUCGAGCAUGUGUCUCCCUAGAAAUAUGGUUCAACACAUUAUCGUCAACCUAUUGCCUAAUGAAUCCACAAAUCUGUCUAUGCAACAGAUUCCACUCUUCAUCUGUUUUAUUAUUAGGCUUUACAGUGGUAAAGAUUGGUUGAUAAAAAUUCUUGACAUAAAGCAGAUCUUCCAUUUUCCCCUUCCAAAUGGCAUAAUUAACACCAUUCAAAGUAACAAUUCUACUUGUGUUGGCUUCCAUCAUUUUCCCCCCAAAAAAAUAGUUAUUGCAAACCAAAGUAAAUCUUUUCUGAUGUGGAAGUUCAGACUGUACUGCAACCACAGAGCAUACUCAGAUACAACCUUGGCUCUGAUAUCAGUUUGUUGGGAAAACGCGGACUAACACAAAAACAUAUAUGGUCAAAUGAUAAAAAUAAAGUGGGAAAAUAAUGACACCAAGAAUUUUACGUGGAAACCCUUCUAAACAAGGGAAAAACCACGGGCCAAGAGAAGCAACUGAUAUCACUAUAGUAAGAAAUUUUACACUAUGUAGUCACGAAUACAAUACUCAAAGUGACUACUACACAUUCAAAAUGAAUAACACUCUUUUGAUUUUCACCUUACUAAAAUAUCGCUCACACUCUAUUUUUCUUCACAGACUAUUUUUCUUGUAUAGUCUAUGGAAUACCUCACUUUGCUCUCAAAAUAAUUUUUUCUCUCUAAAUUAGUGUGUUCUACAAAUGAGCAAGAAUGCUCUAUUUAUAGAAGGAGAAAACCAUGCCUAUGGCACUAAUGACAUAUACAAAUGUAACAAAUUUCAAAAGUAAGUUGCAAAUCUUACCAAUUUGCCAACCACCAAAUCUUUUAUUUUCAACUCACAUUUGUUGUCACUAUUCCUUUUUAACAAUUGUUUGUUGCAAUUGAGUAGCAAAAAUUGAUACCAAAAAUUUAGGAAGCUAUUCAAUAUUUGAGAAUCUAUAUAAUAAAAUCAAGUUAGAUAAAUUAAUUUUAUAUGAUUGAAUUUAAUUUAAUUUUCUUUAUAACAGAGCAUGUUGGAAUUCCAAUGCGACCUCACUCCUCUAAACCAGCUCAUUCAGCAACUGAUCAACACCCAUCACCUGCUGUUAUACACCCAACCCCCGGUAAAAUUCUCUCCAAUAUCUUUUUAAUUUUUUUUUAUUUUUCACUCAAUAUCUUGUGUUUAUAUUUAAAUUCGACUAAAUAUGAAUUCACACAUUUAUAGUCUCAUUCUUUUCGUAUGGCUCUCCAAUAACUAAAAGGAUCGGACAUACGGGACGGGAUCUGAUACCGGAAAUUUAGGAAGCUAUUCAAUAUUCGAGAAUCUAUAUAAUAAAUUUAAAUUACUUAUCAAGUUAGAUAAAUUAAAUUUAUAUGAUUGAAUUUAAUUUAAUUUUCUUUUAUAACAGAGCAUGUUGGAAUUCCAAUGCGACCUCACUCCUCCAGACCAGAUCAUUCAGCAACUGAUCCACACCCAUAACAUGUUGUUAUACACCCACCCCCUGGUAAAAUUCUCUCCAAUAUCUUUUUAAAUUUUUUUCGAUUUUUCACUCGAUAUCUUGUGUUUAUAUUUAAAUUCGACUAAAUAUGAAUUCACGCAUUUAUAGUCUCAUUCUUUUUGUAUGGCUCUCCAAUAACUAAAAGGACCGGACAAACGGGACGAGAUCUUAGUGGAAUAUUCUUUAAAAAAAAUAAAAAUAUAUAUAUAUUAAUUUAAAUAUAAAACUACUAACUAAAAAAUCACAAGAUUUUAUAAGUAAUUUUUUUGUGAGAAGAUAUAUCAUAUAUGAGCAGGGGCGGAAUUAAGUGGGGGUUUGUUGACCCUCUAUUUGUAUUAGAAAAUUAAAUAAAAUAUACAUCUAUUGACUAUAUUAUCUUGUGAACCCCUUAACAAAACUGAUUGACAGUUCGAUAGCAAAAAAGGAUCGUGAAAAUUUUCAGGCUUAAGUUAUGGGUUUGAAUCCUACCAUCAACAAAAAUUAUAUUAUUAUUAUUAUUAUUAUUAUUAUUUUGCAGCAACCCCAACGGCAUGCAGUGGAAUGGAUCGACAAGAAUUAGAAAAUUGUAUACGUCGUCAAGUAAACAGGGAUCUCUGCAAGAAUUAUAAGAUAUGUUAAAAUGAUCAAUAAAUUAUGUAGUAUUAUUAUUACCAAUGCUUUAGAUAAUUAAUUAAAUAAAUAAAUAGAUGGUUUAUAAACUUUAGAACUCCACUUUGUACUAGAUGGGUACAUUUUAUUUCAUUAAAUUAUCUCCCAAAAGAGGAUACCAUACAAAAUAUUUCAAUUUUUUCUAUUGUGAAUGGUCCUUUUUAUACUGUUUACGCUCAAAAUACUACUUGUACUUAUUUAAAAUAUUGAUAUUUUAGAAGUUUAAAAUAAAAUUAAGACUUUUUUCUCAGGUUGAUUGUCUUUAAUUGUAAUUAUUCUUAAAAACUAUAAACACAUAAAUUAUGACAUAUAAAUAAAUUAAAUAUAUUCAAUGAAGAAAGACUAUAUUUUAGAAUAUAAAUAAGAAUAAAAUACUUAAACGUUCUCCUAAUUGAUGUUUUACUUUAUGAGGUGUGUAAAUAAAAAAAAAUGAUAAUUUUUUUUUAUGACAGAGCGACUAUUUCAAAAUGUUACAUAAAUAUCAAAAUUUUAUGAGACUCUAGAGACGUAUUCAAUUCAAGACAAACAUCCCUUUACCUUUGGAGAAUGUAUUUUGACGGUGAAGUUGAGUUAAAAAAAAAAACUUCGACGAAUUCAAUUUUUAGGUUCUUUUUAUUCUUUUCGUUCAACAUGUUGUACUUUUGAAUCAAUUCAAUAUAUUAAUAAUAUCGUACCUCAUCUACUUUAUUAUUAGUUUUAAUAUACAUAUUUAAUUUAGCUAUAUAAAUACAAUAACAAAAGAGGGUAGGAAAUCAAAUAUGAACAAAAAAAAAGAAUUAAAAUGCAAAAAUUAGUACCCCCUUUGUUCCAAAUUACGUGAAUUUGACUAUGAAAAAAAUAAAUUAUUUAAAAUAAAUUUAUAUUUUUGAAUUAUAUAAAAUAUAUUAUAAAUUAAAUAACUGAUAAUUUCAAAUAUUUUUAAAAAUAUAUAAAAAAAUUACCAAAAAAAAAAACAAACAAACUUAUUUGCAUUUUGAAAUAUUUAAAUGUUACAUAUACGAACAAGUACAAGACAUGCCGAUGCAAGCCAUUACUCUACAGAAUUAGUAUAGUUCGCAGACGAGCACAUUAAUAAAAACUUGAACUAAAUAGACAAAGAUGGAAAGAUUAAAGUUUUGUUAUUAGAAAGUCUCCGAUAAAAAGAAUGAUCGUUAAACAAUGGUAUCUUUGUGGCCCAAUUGUAAUAUAAUUGGAGCUAAACUACACAACUUGAGAAGACCGCUAUAAGUUGACCAAAUCAACUGUCAUGAAGACUCCAUAGGACUUGGGAGUACUUUUUUUUAUUUGUCAAUAAAAUAAUAAUUUUUGUUAUAUUAUGUUUUAUAAAGAUGAUAUAUUUUAUACAUUUUUAAUUUAAGAUCACAAAAAAUUUUAAAAAUAAUUUACUCUGCUUAGGGGUGUUCAUGGUUUGGAUAAAAACUGAUCCAAACCGAAAAAUCGAACCAAAUCAAUAAAAUAAAACCAAUUUUAUUUGGGUUUGGUUUGGCAUUAGAUUUUUCGAAAACUGAUAGUAUUUGGUUUGGUUAUGAUUUUAUUCGAAAAAAUCGAAGAAAUAACCGAAUCAAUGAAUUAUAUACAUAUAUUUUAUUAAUAUACAUACUUAAUAUAUUAUUUUUAUGAACAACUUUAAAGAUCUUAUAUAUAUUUUCAUUAAAAUUUCUUUAUAAUAUACUUAUUGAAAGCAAAAAUGUCCAAUAUGAAAAUAUUUAUCUUAUUGAUUUCAUAUAUAUGAGUGCUUAUGACAAUUCUUUGUGGAACUGAAAAUGUUAUUGUCUCUUCCUUCUAGGCCAAUUUAGUGAAUUUUAAAGCUUUAUUGAUAGUAAAUUUAGUGAUCGAAAGAUCAGUAAUUUAAGUCAUUCUAACUAUUUUUCGUUUUGAAUGGAUUGUUGUCACUUUUUUCACAUUUUGAAUGAAUUGUUUCUUUUAUCUUUGUGUAUGAUUAAUUACCAAACCAAACCAAACCGAAACUGAUAACCACCAAACCGAUAAAUGUAUAUUAUAUUUGAUUUUGAUAAUUUUAAAACCGAUUAAGUUGGUUUGAUUUUGGUUUUGACCAAUAACCGAUCCAAAUCGAUCCAUGAACACCCCUAACUCUGCUUAUGAAAAAUAAUUUCUGCUGUUGUGUAGAAAUUAUUUUUUAAAAAAAAUUUCAACUCUCUAAACUAAGUAAAAAAAAAAUGAAAGAAAAAAAACAUUAUUAAUUUCUAAAAAAUUGGCCAAACAAAUUAUAAAAUCACUUUAUAUAUUGUACAUGUUCUUGCAAAAAAAAAAGUCUAAUUGAGUAUUGACUUGUUCAAUAUAUUAGCAUGAGAGGACUUAAGAGUAGACCAAAGUGUCAUGAAUCACAAAGGUUGUGGUGUAAUAAAUGAGAUUGUCUCGAGGUUUUGAUUUAAAAAUUUAAAUAUAGAAAAAAAUUUGAUAAAAAAUAUUUUUUCUCGAAUGAGUAUGCCUAUACAAUACGAACUUAAAAUCAAUCGAACUUUAAUAUAGAUACUGAAUCGUGAAUGAAAAAACAAAAACUAAAGUGUCAUAAAUGUUUAGUCCAAGGAAGACUUCAAAAGUCAAGAACCAUAAAAUGGGUUAUAAACGAAGUGAGAAUUUUCUAAAGGAUUUAGUCUACACGUUUGAAGUAUUUAUUUUUCUCUUGAGGAAAUUUUUAUAUAAGAUUAUUAUUGAUUUAAACAAAAAACACAUCAUAUAUUUCCCUCUCCUCCAUAGCUUUUUGAAACCAUGAAUUACAAAGCAUUCACUUUUGAUAUUGUUUGUAUUAAUUUUUUUGUCUAUCGUCAACAAUGGCCUCUCGAAGAAUAUUAUCAGGUUUUAUCUCUUUGCUAUAUUAAAUAUGAUAAUUAGAAAAAAAAUAUUUAUUGUUUAUAGAAUAAUAAUUCUUGUUUAUUGAUAAAAGCAUAAAGAUCAUUUCUAUUAUAAGGUGGAGAGUUUGAUUUUUCCAAUCAACCUAAUCGCAUAAAUAAAACUCUUUUAAAAAAGGGAAAAUUGUAUAUAAUAGCAAACUAUUAAUUCAAAUUAAAUGCUAUAAAUAUAGUUUGAUUUAAUUGUACCUCAUAGCAAACUAUUGUUAUUUCACCUCUCUCCUGGUGAAUCUCGCUCGCCACUCUCAUUCUCUCCCUCGCCUCUCUCGUUUUUUAUACAAACGCAAGUGUAUAAAGUGCAUUUGUGUUUGUAUAAAGCGAGAGAAAAUUGUAUAUACACAUGCAAAUACAUAUAUCUUCGUCCUAUACACUAAUAAUUAUACAAUACAAAUAUUCCCUUACCCAAUUCUCUUUUUCCUUUCUCUCUUUCUUGCUUUAUACAAACACAUAUUAUACAAUAUAAUGUAAAAUUUAUGUUUGUAUAAUGUAUAAUUUAUGUUUGUAUAAAGCGAAAUAAAAUUGUAUAUACACAUGCAAAUACAUAUAUNNNNNNNNNNNNNNNNNNNNNNNNNNNNNNNNNNNNAGAAAAUUGUAUAUAUACAUAUAUUUCGUUCCCCUCUCUCCCCUCUCCCAGAUCUCGCUCACUCACUCGCCUCUCUCACUUUAUACAAUUGAUCUUUUUGUAUAUGUAUACCAAAGCAAAUUAUACAACUGUUUUUUUUUUGUAUAUGUAUAGCGAAUUAUACAUAUAUAUGUUUGCUAUGGAGCGCAAUUAUGCAAACUUUGCUGUAGCAUACAAAUAUGAAUUUUGUGUUUGCUAUAUUUGAAAGUUGCUCUUUAAAAAAUUAUAUAUUUAUCCCUUCUCUUUAAUGUAUUUUAAUUUUUUUUUCCCCUAAAUUUUCAGUUGAAGGAAGUAAACAAAUUCAUUAGUUUAAGAUAUACCAUGUUGAGAAUUCUAAUUAGUACGAUGGCAUUUAAUUUGGACUAAUAAGUAGUUUUUGUUGUAAAACUAAAGCAAAAUAAGACAAAAAAUAUAGAAGAUGAAAGCAAUAAAAAUAUUGUUAUAUAAUAUUUUAUAACAAUUUUUUUGUCAAUUUCUUUUUUUGCUUUAUUCUUGUUUUCUUGUUCCGUUUAUUGUAAUGGGUUUUACUUUAAUUUGAGGUAUCACGCUUCAGUUUUCAAUAUAAAAAAAUGUCUUCAGAAAGCAUUUUUUUCAAUAAUUCAAGUUUUUCCAAAAACACUUUUGAAAUUAUAAUCAAGCAUAAACUAUUACCCUAGAUCAACAAGUCUUUUUAAAUUAAUUAGUCUAAUACAAAUUACUAUCAUAUAUAUGUAUAAAAAAAACUUUAACAAACACUUUCAACAAAAAUACUUUUUAAAAUAAAUAAUUUUUCAAACUUAAUCAAAUAGACUAUAAAUAAUUAGGCUAUUGAAAAUAAAGUAGAUACCAAAUUUGGACAUAUUAAAAAAUUAAUUUAACAAAAAAAAAAAAAAUUGUACCCAAAAGUGCUUGUUCUUUGUUUGAAUUGAAUUUAAAUUCUAUGUAUUUAUAGGAUCAAAUUAUUUAUAUUCGAGAUAAAUUGAUUAUUAUGAUAGCAUAAUAUAUAUAUAAACUCUAUUUUAAUAACAGGUCCGGGAAAUAGUAAAAUGCCAUCACUACCUCACCGACCUAAACCAGAUGGAUCAGCAACUACCCAACCACCGCCUGGUAAACUUUUGCUUGAACCUUUUUUCAAUUUACGUGUCACAAUUCAAAAUUUGAGAAUCAAAUAUUUUAAUUUUCAUUUUUAAAACUUCGCAUCCCCUAAUGUGAACUACUAUUAAUAUGCGCGGCAAAUUAGUUCAUGCAUAUGUAGUAGUCUGAGUCGAUUUUAAUUUUUUAUCAUUUUAAUAAGUUGAAUUUUAAUUUUUGCAUUUAUAACAUAAUAAAAGUUAUUUAAGAGCGCAAAACAUAACUUAUAAACUAUUACUAUGUAAAAAUAUAAAUUUAUAUCUUACGAUUUUUUUUUUACCUCGAGGGACAAUCGAUAAAGAUCGGCACAAAAUACAGGGACCCUUUUUAAUUUGCGUAAAGAUAUUGAUUAGACACAAUGUUUAAAGAACUUUUUUUUUGAUGAUUUCUAAUACUUUGUGGUCGUGAGUACGAAUUAUAUGAUGAGAUAUUUGUGAAUUAUGAUUAUAAAACUUGUUAUAAAAUGUCUAAUGAGAAACUUAUAAUUCAUUUUUAGAAUAGAAAAGUGUUAUUCUGUUUGAUUUCAAAAAAUAAUAAUCAAUGUUUUUUUUUUUUUAAUCAAAAUAGCAGCACCACAACAUUUAACCUAUCGUGCAAUACAAAAAACAGUGACUGUAUGCAACGAGAAGGUGUAUGGCAAUUGUAUAAGAGCUCCUCCAACAGUCACACGCUGCAAUUAUUAUGGAAGAUGUAAACGCACCGUAGUACCCUAACUUGAAGUUAUAACAGCAAAGCAAGUCGCAGUUAGAAUUUGAAAUUUAUGAAUUCUGAAUGUAUUACUGAAUUUUAUAACACAUUUAAUUAGUUACUGGAUUGACGGUUAAUUGUAAACAAUAAACUUCAUUUUUCAGUGAAAGUUCAUGUAAUAAUAUUGAAUGGUGUAUAUUUAUAUCAAAGCCAUUUAAAAUCUUCUUCUUCCA